CCUUCACAUAAAAUUAUUCGAUUAAACGUUCCUGAAGACCUGAAAACACUGUUCGUUUUGGACUAUUGUAACACUGAUAUAACAGACAGAUUUUCAUUCGCUUUUUUAUUAAGAAAGAAACUUUAGGUGAAUAAUAGAAAUUAACCUCAGAGCGUAUAAUGGAGUCGGAUAGAGAGAUUAUCAAAAACUUUGGUGUUGUGCUAUCCGAAGGAGUAACUGAUGUUUGUAAACAGACUGCAAAACAGGUUUUUAUUGCCAGUGUGGCCACUUAUGUUGUGUACAGAAUAUCAAAGAAUAUAUAUAUUCGGUAUAAGGUAAAGCAAGCUUCUAAAAGGUUAAGAAGAGAAUUGGCUGAAGGGCAGAUGCUCGUGCAAGAGUCUGUUCACAGAUGGAGAGAAUCCUCUGAAUAUGCUGAACUAUCUAAAAUGUCCUCUUUGCCCCUGGAGAAGUUUAUUCUAUCGUUGACAUUUGAAUCUCUAGUCGAGAAGUUGCAAAAAGGUGAAUUAACCGCCUUCUCUGUUCUAAAGUCCUAUCAGGCCAAGGCAUUGGAACAACAGGUGCUAAAUAACUGCAUUGUUGGAUGGGUGCUUGAGGCAGAUAAAAUUGCCAGGGAUCUUGAUGAUGUUGCUGCUGAGAGCAGGAAACCAUUUCAUGGACUUCCAAUCAGCGUAAAAGAGUGUUUCUACCUGAAGAACACCUACAGUACUGGAGGCAUGCUCACUUUUGUAUCGGAGAAGGAUGUCAAGAACUCACCAGCUGUUCAAACUCUUCUCAACCUAGGAGCUGUUCCUUUCUGUAAAACAAAUGUCCCACAGGCUAUGUACAGUAUGGAGUGUACAAAUCCUUUGUACGGUACAACUACAAAUCCGCAUAAUCCUACGCGUGAGGCCGGAGGAUCAAGUGGAGGUGAGGGAUCUCUUAUUGGAGGAGGAGGAUCAAUCCUAGGGAUAGGAAGCGAUAUCGGAGGAUCUCUCAGAAAUCCUGCUGCCUGCUGUGGAAUAUACUCGAUGAAACCUACAAUUGGAAGACAUCUAUCCUACAUGGAUGUUGUACCUACAGCAGGCCCAGAUCCAGCUGGAAUGCAGGCUAUUGGAGGAUUUAUGUCUAGUUCUCCUACUGCUCUUCUUUAUGCAUGGAAAGAACUGUGGAAUAUUACAGACUCCAACAAUUCCCAGCGUAAUGAUGCAUCUAUUGCGCCGGUUAGGUUCAAUCAAGAAAUGUUUGAGAAGAAAGUGAAGAUUGGUUUCUUCUUCUCCGACGGAUUGCACGAGGCUGUUCCUGCAGUUAAGCGAGCUGUUCUUCAAGCAGUUAAAGUACUUAAGAGCUAUAAUUACGAAGUUAUUGCUUUCCCUCCACCGGAUAUAAAGGAAGUUCUCUAUCUGUUCAAUGGAUUAAUAAUGGCGGAUAUCAAAACUUUUGAAGGUUACAUGUCCUGGGAGGUGGAAUCUACUGCGCUUAGUGGGAUUGGGUUAACCCUCAUGAUGUUUAAGAUACCCCGGCUAAUCAGGAAACUGCUGAUAGAUCCAAUACUGUCCUACCUGACCAAGAUUCCACCUAUGGAACAUCUCUUUACAUCUUCACAUGAUAUCUAUAAAGGACUUCAGAUGAAAGGAGAAAUGAGUCAAAGAUACUUGAGUAUGAUGGAGGAUGCGGGGGUGGACGUUAUCAUCUCACCCGGACAGAUGUUCCCAGCCCUACCCAGCUACGAGGCGGGUCAAUUUAUGCCUGUUAUUCUGCCCUAUAUACCCUGGAACCUACUCAAUAUGCCGGCUGGGGUUGCACCUGUCACUAAGUAUACUCAAGCAGAUAGUGAAGCUAUGCGUGAAUAUCCAUCUACCGACUUUGUGUACAGAUCUAUUCAUAGAUUCUGUGAAGGUGCGACUUAUCUCCCUCUUGCAGUUCAGGUGGUGGCUAGACCUUUUCAUGAGGAGCAAGUUUUGCAAGUUCUUGAGGUUCUUCAUAGGAACUCUUCAACUGUCUGAUGAUUGAUGUUUUCCAUAGGAACUCUUCAACUAUCUGAUGAUUGAUGUUUUCCAUAGGAACUCUUCAACUGUCUGAUGAUUGAUGUGCUCCAUAGGAACUCUUCAACUGACUGAUGAAUGAUGUUCUUUAUAAAAACUCUUCAACUGAUUGUUAAUUUAUUGAGUUUAGCUUCGCUAGUCUAUUUAGUGCUGUCAUAAAGUAAUAUUGUGCCGCAAAGCAAAAAUUCCAUUCCAAAUCUUUUGUCUAAUUGUCACCCUUUUACUUUUCUAUAUUGAGGAACACAUGGCAUUAAAUAAAUGUCCUAAAUAAUUAAUGAAGUCAGACCACAAAUUUUUAAUCAAUCUUAUUAUCAUAUAUUUUUUUUCUUGUUUUCUGUAUUUAUGUAUUUAAUAAGGUUUCCAACGCCGCAAGUGUAUUUUACUUGCGCGCAAUUGCGGACCCGUUAAUUUCCUCGCAAUUCCGCGCAACGGAAUUCUGACUGGAAACCGUAGUAUAUAUCCUUACAUUUUUUCACUAAGCAUUUAAUUUAUCAUUGUUGUCCUAAUUUUGGUUUGAAAGAGCAAUAAGUAAUCUUAA
rnacentral:misc_RNA from 1 species